GAUGAACGCUGGCGGCGUGCCUAAUACAUGCAAGUCGAGCGAACAGACGAGGAGCUUGCUCCUCUGACGUUAGCGGCGGAAGGGUGAGUAACACGUGGAUAACCUACCUAUAAGACUGGGAUAACUUCGGGAAACCGGAGCUAAUACCGGAUAAUAUAUUGAACCGCAUGGUUCAAUAGUGAAAGACGGUUUUGCUGUCAUUUAUAGAUGGAUCCGCGCCGCAUUAGCUAGUUGGUAAGGUAACGGCUUACCAAGGCAACACUCCGUAGCCGACCUGAGAGGGUGAUCGACCACACUGGAACUGAGACACAGUCCAGACUCCUACGGGAUGCAUCAGUGUAGCAUCUUCCCCAAUGGCCAAAGGCCUAACGUACCAACGCCCCGUGAGUGAUGAAGGUCUUCUGAUCGUAAAACUCUGUUAUUAGGGAAUAACCAAUCUGUAAGUAACUAUUCACGUCUUAACGGUACCUAAUCAGAAAGCCACGGCUAACUACGUG
rnacentral:rRNA from 1 species